UGAGGAAUUUUGCGCAAUGGCCGCAAGGCUGACGCAGCAACGCCGCGUGAGUGAUGAAGGCCUUCGGGUUGUAAAACUCUGUCAGAUGGGAAGAACCUUGACCGAUUUAUAAGAUCGGACAACUGACGGUACCAUCAGAGGAAGCUCCGGCUAACUCCGUGCCAGCAGCCGCGGUAAUACGGAGGGAGCUAGCGUUGUUCGGAAUUACUGGGCGUAAAGGGCGCGUAGGCGGUGAUGUAAGUCAGAUGUGAAAACCAUCGGCUUAACCGAUUGGAUUGCAUUUGAUACUGCACCACUUGAGUUCAGUAGAGGAGAGUGGAAUUCCCAGUGUAGCGGUGGAAUGCGUAGAUAUUGGGAAGAACACCGGUGGCGAAGGCGGCUUGCUGGGCAGCAACUGACGCUGAGGCGCGAAAGCCAGGGGAGCAAACG
rnacentral:rRNA from 1 species